GGAAGAUGGCUAAGCACGGUAGUUUUCGACCAUCCCGGCCUCUUAUACAGAAGUCAGGAUUCAGAAGUAUCUGCAGAUGCUACUUUUAGCAACUGAAUAUUUCCAUGGUGGUAAAUAAAUGUCAGUGAAAUCUAUGCACUUUAAGAACAUCAAAUUCUUAUUAUACUUAUCAUGUGUGCAGGCAGAGUACAUAAUAAACUAGUCUAUAGCAGCUGUAAAUUUCUGAGGAUUUAUCUAACCACAAAUGCAUUGAAAUGGGGAAAUGGGGCUAUAUUAAACCAUGCAAGAUGCUGCUGGAGCUUUGCCAUUUCUGCAACAUCCUGUAAUUAAUUUAUCAUGACAGGUCUGGCAAACUGAAACAUCCAGUGCCCUUGCGACAGACUGUUCAACUAUGGUGGUUGGAGUUCCUGCAGUCACAUAAGGUGAAGCCUUGCCCAUUUCCUUUCAGAGGUUAGAGUGCCUCAGACUACAAACAAGGGGACCCAAGGGAGUCUGGGAACCUCGAAUCUGCAAGUUUCCGUGAGAGGGGAAAGUCCCAGGUGGAAGAGAGUGAGAUGGGUCCUGCUCACUGGGAACAGGUGAGAUGCCAGCGAGGGGCAGUGGCUCCUACCCAGCCACCAAAGGCUAACUAAACGCUUUAUGUUCUUCGUGUUUUCUCAAGUGAUUUUCUUUCUCUUUAUCCUUGCUGGUGAAAAUUGAUCCUCUUUCAGAGGACCUGAGAAGUUUGUUGCUUGGGCCUGAGUGUUUUUAAAAAAGCGAGCCGCAGAACUCCAAAGUGAAUGUGAACCCAAGGGAGAAGGGCAGGAGAGACUGUAGGAACGCUUUGUGUCCCUGCAUCCUCCCACCCGGAAGGCCCCUUCAGAGCUUGUCGACGGAACCUUUGGGAAUGGAGUGGAGAGUGUGUGUGUCCAAAAACUAAAAAAGAAGACCCCGUUUCACACACCCCAGUUAAGUAGCUGGUCCAGGACCACAGAAACCAGGGGCAGGACCCUGCCGCCUCCUACUGAUUCUCCCAUUCCUGCUGCUGUUUGCGGGGUAACAUUCUCACUUAACUUAAAGCCUCAUUAUUCAAUCCUAAUUCUGAAAAAGUCCUACAUUUUCUCAACAUCAUACACAACUACGAGCAGAUAUCCCACAUAGAGCAUGGUCUACAUUCAGAGAAAUGCCCCUGUCAAACUGGCUUAUUGCAAGUGAUGAGUUUGGAUGAGUAGGGGUUGAAACUAGGUAGGGAUGUCAUCCAGGCGCUAUCAGAGUCAGGAGUGACAUUUCUGUGCAUACAUGGGGAUGGGUUGGUUUCUUUGAUUUUUAGUUUUUUGCUAUACUGACAACAAUGCAGAUAGGGACUAAUUCUACUUACACAUCAAUAGCUGGAAUUAUUGACUACUUGCCUACACAUAUUUUAUAAUUCAGGCGUCAAUAGCUUUAAUACUUUUGAUGUUUUUUAAAGUAUGUGUGUUUGCGCACGUUCACUGACUCCACAGCUGGUUCCUGAGCACCUGUGUGUCAAGGCUGGCUGGGAACUGCGCACACAGUGGGACGAGGAGCUUCAAGUCUUCUGCUCUGUGUUUCCCCUUGAAAUUGUUACGUGUUUGUUGCCACUGUCCCCCUACAGUGGUGUUCAGAGGACCUGCAUGUACAGGACCAAACCUGAGCCUCACAACAGCCUUUAUUAGGCAGAAAAUGUGUUCUUCUCCCAUUUUUCAGACCACUCACAAGGAG
rnacentral:lncRNA from 1 species